UACGUAGGGGGCAAGCGUUGUCCGGAAUUAUUGGGCGUAAAGCGCGCGCAGGCGGUCAUUUAAGUCUGAUGUUUAAGCCCGGGGCUCAACCUCGGAUCGCAUCGGAAACUGGGUGACUUGAGUGCAGGAGAGGAAAGUGGAAUUCCACGUGUAACGGUGAAAUGCGUAGAGAUGUGGAGGAACACCAGUGGCGAAGGCGACUUUCUGGCCUGUAACUGACGCUGAGGCGCGAAAGCGUGGGGAGCAAACAGG
rnacentral:misc_RNA from 1 species